UUUUAUACCACUGCACACUAGAGUCUUAUAUCUCAUGACCUUAUGUUGUUUAAAUGGUGCAAUACCUAAAGAGUCUUAAAGCUUCUACUUCUCUAAAGCACCAGAAUCAAAUAAGCUAGUAAUCGAGGUACAAUAAUAAUAUUCUAUUUUAGUUAGUCCCGUACUCAAAAAGGGUCUUCAAUGAAUAAUGCUCAUGUUAUAGUAAGCACCAAUAAUGUUUUUUCUUUUUCUUUUGAAAGCUAGUCAAUUAUAAAGUUGAAAAUCCUUUAUUAAAACAAUCUUUCAUUUUGUCUGUUUACUAUUAUUAAAGGUAUAUUGCAAUCUUUCAUUUUGUCUGUUUACUAUUAUUAAAGGUAUAUUGCUAUACCUUUAAUAGUAAAGUGACAAAAUGAUAGAUUCCUUUAAUCCAAGAUCUUGAAUUUUAGUUGACUUACCUUUCUGACCAAAAUUACUUUAUGGGUGCAUACUAUAAAAUGAAUUUUCUUCCUCGAAAACUCUUUUAGGUACGAGAAUGUUGUUAGAACUAAAAUAGAGCAUCCAUAUUGUAACUCACGUACUAGCUUAUCUGAUUCUAGUGCUUCGGAAAAGAGCUAAUCAAAACUCUCUAGGUAUUGCACCAUUUGAACAAAAUCUAAUAUUUAGGUGAUUAAAGUGGUAGAAAAGGUGGACAAAGGCAGGGCUAUAUUUCUGUGACGGACAAAACUGUUGCCAAAACUAAAAUAAAGCAUUCAUGUUUUAUCUCGUCGACUUGCUUAUCUAAUUCUACUGCAUCAUUUGAACAAUGUAAUGUCAUGAAAUCUGCACGUCAGGCUACAGAAUUAACAUCAACCACUAGCUUCAGAAGUAGAGACUUCAAUGUAGUUUCCUUCCCUUAUUUGGCGUAUUGAAUAGUCGCGCGCCAUUUUUAUCAGUUUUUACUCAUCACUUACCAGUUAGGGGAGUAUAAUGAAGAGGUUCAAAAGAAUCCUUCUUCACCACUUUUCUGAUAUUUUAUCUCUCCAUGCUCCCCCAAUAUGUAAGAGUAAGCUUUUGCAUCAUUACUGUUAGAUCUAAAGUCAAUAAAGAAUAUAGAUAGUGCAAGUAACGUUUAAGUUGACUCAUCUAGCUGCUAAAACAGUGAAAAGGAAUGUGCUCCAGGCAACAGAAAGACAAGUCAAAAGAAGAUAUAGGAGCAAAG
rnacentral:lncRNA from 1 species